CCAAAGGCUCUUUUCAGAGCCACUUCUGUUCUCAGUAAAAGGCUGU
rfam:Dipodomys ordii contig_61513, whole genome shotgun sequence.